GCAAGAUCUGUAGCAGUAGAGUAGCCUUGUUGCUACGAUCUGCUGAGGCUUAGCCUUUGUUCUACAGAUUUGUGCUUUUGCACUCUCUCAGCAUAUUUUGGAUCGGAGGGUUUAAAGACUCUGACUAUGGUAUGCUAAGACAGUGAAAACGUACAAGUUCGUACAAGUUCGUGGAUGGAAGUUCGUGGGUGGUUGGUCUCACAUCAUCGGCUGAGUCUAGAGGAUGCUUAAGUUCAUACAGAGCUUGGGCAUGCUUUGGGCUCAGCCAUUUUGCGUUAAGGGGGUGUGGCAGUUCCAGUAUAUGAGUGCAAUUUGAACAUACUAGUAUCUACGGCCAUAGGACUCAGAAAAUACCGCAUCCCGUCCGAUCUGCGAGUCAAGCUGA
rnacentral:misc_RNA from 1 species